rnacentral:rRNA from 1 species
UACGUAGGGUGCGAGCGUUGUCCGGAAUUACUGGGCGUAAAGAGCUCGUAGGUGGUUUGUCGCGUUGUCCGUGAAAACUCACAACUCAAUUGUGGGCGUGCGGGCGAUACGGGCAGACUGGAGUACUGCAGGGGAGACUGGAAUUCCUGGUGUAGCGGUGGAAUGCGCAGAUAUCAGGAGGAACACCAGUGGCGAAGGCGGCUCACUGGUCCGGUACUGACGCUGAGGAGCGAAAGCGUGGGGAGCGAACAGGA